rnacentral:rRNA from 1 species
UACAGAGGUCUCAAGCGUUGUUCGGAUUCAUUGGGCGUAAAGGGUGCGUAGGCGGUGCGGUAAGUCGGGUGUGAAAUCUCGGAGCUUAACUCCGAAACUGCAUUCGAUACUGCCGUGCUUGAGGACUGGAGAGGAGACUGGAAUUUACGGUGUAGCGGUGAAAUGCGUAGAUAUCGUAAGGAAGACCAGUGGCGAAGGCGGGUCUCUGGACAGGUCCUGACGCUGAGGCACGAAGGUCAGGGGAGCAAACGGG